GAUGAACGCUGGCGGCGUGCUUAACACAUGCAAGUCGAACGAAGCACUUACCAAGGAUUCUUUCGGGAUGACUAAUAAGUGACUGAGUGGCGGACGGGUGAGUAACGCGUGGGUAACCUACCUCACACAGGGGGAUAACAGUUAGAAAUGACUGCUAAUACCGCAUAAGCGCACAGUGCUGCAUGGCACAGUGUGAAAAACUCCGGUGGUGUGAGAUGGACCCGCGUCUGAUUAGCUGGUUGGUGAGGUAACGGCCCACCAAGGCAACGAUCAGUAGCCGGCCUGACGAGGGGUGAACGGCCACAUUGGAACUGAGACAC
rnacentral:rRNA from 1 species